UUCGGAGCUAACGCGUUAAGUAGACCGCCUGGGGAGUACGGUCGCAAGAUUAAAACUCAAAUGAAUUGACGGGGGCCCGCACAAGCGGUGGAGCAUGUGGUUUAAUUCGAUGCAACGCGAAGAACCUUACCUACUCUUGACAUCCAGAGAAGCCAGCGGAGACGCAGGUGUGCCUUCGGGAGCUCUGAGACAGGUGCUGCAUGGCUGUCGUCAGCUCGUGUCGUGAGAUGUU
rnacentral:rRNA from 1 species